GAUCCUGGCUCAGGAUGAACGCUGGCGGCGCGCCUAACACAUGCAAGUCGAACGGCACCCCUCUCCGGAGGGAAGCGAGUGGCGAACGGCUGAGUAACACGUGGAGAACCUGCCCCCUCCCCCGGGAUAGCCGCCCGAAAGGACGGGUAAUACCGGAUACCCCGGGGUGCCGCAUGGCACCCCGGCUAAAGCCCCGACGGGAGGGGAUGGCUCCGCGGCCCAUCAGGUAGACGGCGGGGUGACGGCCCACCGUGCCGACAACGGGUAGCCGGGUUGAG
rnacentral:rRNA from 1 species